CGCUUGGUAUUGAUGGCGGUUUACCGCUUGAGACUAGUUCCGUUUGGAAUGGUGUCAACAUUUUGUAGAAGUUGUCAUUCAAGGUAUUUUUCACCAUAUGGAGCAAGAUAUUCGUCUUUGGAACAUCUAAGAUCUGUUUCUCAAAAAAUCCCUUUUAUUUGUCUGAUAGAUCUGAUUAUUCAGUCAAAAUGCGUUUAAUAUGCUUACGAUAAUCCGGGGUAUAAAGCAGGGUUAUGCAAAGUAGAAAAAAGUUUACAGUAAUUACAAAUAUUUCUAACACAUUACUACUGGUUGGGGUGUCCUACAAAAUGCUGAACUCAAAAGGCUGAAAUCUCAAAAGACUGAAAAUCUCACAAGGCUGAAAGUAUCAAAAGGCUGUAAAGUAUCAGGUGGAAUGUAUCGAAAGGCUGAAAUUAAUGGUAUGCAAUGAAUCUCAACCGUACGAUGGAGUACAAAGUGAGUGCUGAACAAUGAAUAGAAAAUAAAGGAUAGAGAAUAAGGAAUAAAAAAAGAAAAAUAAGAAAAAAGAAGUAAGAAGGAAGGAGCAAGACGGAUGAAGGUAGAAGGAAUGAGGGAAAAGGGAGAAAUCAGAAGAAAAAAGGAACAAGGAAGAAGGAAAAAGGGAAGAAUGAAAGGGAAAGAAUGGACAAGGAAGAAGCAAGAAGGAUGAAGGACGACGUAAAAAGAAAAAAAGGAAGAAAAAGGGAAGAUAGGAGAAAGAAGAAGGAAAAACGAGGAAGAAAGAUGUAAGAAAGAAUAAUAAAGAAAGAAGUGUGAUGUACUAUCACUAAGAUGAUAAUAAUAAUUAUUUAAACAAUAUGUUACCGUAUCCGUAUAAGGGGCUUCUUUAUCGAAUUGGAUGCUGGGUCAUUAGGCCGAAUGGUCAUUAGGCCGAAUGGUCAUUAGGCCGAACGGUCAUUAGGCUUAAUAGCCAUUAGGCCGAAUGAGAAUUGGGGUGUGAGAAGGAAGAAAGAAAAAGGAAAAGGGAGGAAGAUGUAUGAAGGAAGAAAGAAGAAGUAUGAAGGAAGAAAGAAGAAGUAUGAAGGAAGAAAGAAGAAGUAUGAAGGAAGAAAGAAGAAGUAUAAAGGAAGAAAGAAGAAGUAUGAAGGAAAAAAAAAGAAAGAAGAAGGAAGAAGGGAGAAGGGAGAAGGAAGAAGUAAGAAGGAAGAAGGAAAAUGGAAGAAGAAAGAAGGAAGAAGAAAGAAAGAAGAUGGAAGAUGGAAGAAGGGAGAAAAAAGAAGGAAGAUGGAACAAGGAAGAAGGAAGAAGGAAUAAGAAAGAAGAAAGAAGGAAGAAGGAAGAAAGAAGAAAAACGAAAAGAAGGAGGAAGAAGGAAAGAAGGAAAGCGGAAGAAGGAAAAAGAAAAAAGGAAGUAAGAAGAAGAAAGAAGGAAGAAGAUAUAAGAAAGUAAAAGGAGAAAGAAGAAGAAAGAAUGAAGAAGGAAGAAGAAAGCUUAGCUUAGCUUAGCUUAGCUAGCUUAGCUUAGCUUAGCUUAGCUUUGACUGACUACACAUAUCUAUGGUUGCUGCUCCGUGAGAAUGAAGAAGGAAGAAGAAAGAUGGAAAAAGAAAAAAAAGGAAGAAGGAAAAAGAAAGAAGGAAGAAAGAAGAAGGAAGAAGGAAUAAGGAAGAAGGAAGAAAGAAGGAAGAAAGAAGAAGGAAGAAAAAAGAAAGAAGGGAGACGAGAGAAAGAAGAAAGAAGAAAAAAAAAGAAAAAGGGAUAAGAAAGAAGGAAGAAGGAAAAAAGAAACAGGAAGAAGGAAGAAGGAACAAGAAAGAAGGAAGAAGGAAGAAGGAAG